rnacentral:rRNA from 1 species
GAAUCAACGCUGGCGGCGUGCCUAACACAUGCAAGUCGAACGCGAAAGCCCCGCAAGGGGUAAGUAGAGUGGCAAACGGGUGAGUAACACGUGGGUGACCUGCCUUCGAGUGGGGGAUAACGUCCCGAAAGGGACGCUAAUACCGCAUGACAUCCUGCUUUUGAAAAAGCGGAGAUCAAAGCUGGGGAUCGCAAGACCUAGCGCUUGAAGAGGGGCCCGCGCCUGAUUAGCUAGUUGGUGAGGUAACGGCUCACCAAGGCGACGAUCAGUAUCCGGCCUGAGAGGGCGGACGGACACACUGGGACUGAGACACGGCCCAGACUCCUACGGGAGGCAGCAGUGGGGAAUUGUUCGCAAUGGGCGCAAGCCUGACGACGCAACGCCGCGUGGAGGACGAAGAUCUUCGGGUCGUAAACGCCUGUCGAGCGGGACGAACGCUUCGCGGAUGAAUAAUCCGCGGAAUUGACGGUACCGCUAAAGGAAGCCCCGGCUAACUCCGUG